GCCGCCCUCUCCCCUUGCUGUGCCACCUGUGUCCCACAGAGGGCGCUGCGCCCCUCUGGUUGGUGUCUGUUGGUUCAGAGGCUCUCGGACCUAAAGCACAAAUUAAGUCCAUUGUGCCAGAGAGCCCUGCUCUGGGGGCUCAACCCUAACCCUAACCUAACACUAACACUAGCCCUAACCCUCAAGCCAUGCCUGGACGGCAAGAUGCGGUGUCCCUUCCUGUUGCCACUGUUGGCCACUGUGUGUCAUUCUGAUGUCUCCUGCAGGGGCACACCACGACCAACGACAAACGUAGGCGCCUGCGGGCUUCCCGACAGCACAGCCGGACAACGACACCCAGACCGGCCACAACACCCUACCCGCUGAGAGUUGCAGGCCCAGAGGGGCAGCACAGGUGACAGUGAGUCCUGGGCCGGAAGAGACGCAGCUUCACCCUGAUGAAGAAGGAAACAGUCCCACGGUCAUCCAGAGAAGCAGUGAGUGGCUGGCGCGUCAUGAAGCGCUGAGGCCUGGCCACCCAGGGCUGGGAAACAGAAUCUCUUUGUGCCAACCCUGACGUCAUGGACAGUUUGUCCGGAGCACGGACCCUGAGGCCGGGCUGCCUGGUUCAGCUUUAGCUUUCCCGCUCACUGGCUGUGCAGCCUCGGGGAACUGGAGGAGCCUCUGCCCGCCUGCUCACCCCCAACGUGGGGGACGCCUCAGUGAUCGCCGGGGGGAUUCACUGAGUAACGCGUGGAGAGACAGUGCGACCGUCAGGGGCUGCAGGGACCACACGCUUCAGGUGACCUCCUGAGCAAGUCC